rnacentral:misc_RNA from 1 species
CGUGGCUUUUGCAAUGAGAUGAAAAUGAAGGAGGCUGAAAAUAUAUUGCAUGACAUGGAAAAGCAAGGAUUUGCCCCAGAUGUGUAUAUGUAUGGUGCUUUAAUAUCUAGAUUUUGUAUGGUUGGGAAUUUAUUCAAAGCUUUGGCUCUUCACGAUGAAAUGGUGUCAAAAGGUAUCAAAACAAAUUGUGUGAUUGUAAGCUCAAUUCUUCUAGGCUUGUCUCAUAUGGGCAUGGCUUCUGAAGUAGCAAAUCAAUUUAAGGAAUUCAAGGAGAUGGGGAUUUUCCUUGAUAAGGCUUGCUACAAUGUAGUGAUGGAUGCUUUGUGUAAGCUGGGGAAGGUGGAAGAGGCUGUGGCAUUGCUUGUUGAGAUGAAGGGUAAGCAAAUGGUUCCCGAUAUCAUCAACUACACAACUCUGAUUGGUGGUUACUGUCUUAAAGGUAAAGUUUUUGAUGCCUGGAAUUUAUUUGAAGAAAUGAAGAAGAAUGGACAUAAGCCUGAUGUUAUUACUUAUAAUGUUCUUGCUGGUGGUUUAUCGAGAAAUGGCCUUGCACAGGAGGCCCUUAAUCUUUUAAAUGACAUGGAGACCCAAGGUGUAAAACCUAACACUGUCACUCAUAAUAUGAUCAUUGAAGGCUUAUGUAUAGCAGGUAAAGUGGAUGAUGCUGAAACUUUUUUUGAUAAUUUGGAAGAGAAGUGCUUGGAAAGCUACAGUGGCAUGGUCAGUGGUUACUGUGAAGCUGAUCAUACGAAGGAGGCCUUUGACCUGUUUAUUAGGCUGGCUAAGCAGGGAUUUCUUGUGAAGAAAGCUUCCUACAUAAAAUUACUUCAAAACCUCUGUAUGGAAGGUGAUAAUGAGAAGGCUCUGUUGUUGCUUGACACAAUGUUGGGUAUGGAUGUCAAUCCUACCAAGAUCAUGUAUAGUAAAGUCAUAGGUGCACUUUGCUGGGCAGGAGAAAUGAAGAAGGCUCAACGUGUUUUUGAUGUUUUGGUCAAUACAAGUGUAACUCCUGAUUUAAUUACUUACACAAUGAUGAUAAAUGGUUAUUGCAGGGUGAAUCGCAUGAGGGAGGCCUGUCAUCUUUUGGGUGAUAUGAAAAGCAGAGGGAUUAAACCAGAUGUUAUUACUUACACAGUUUUGAUAGACAAUUGUUCAAAAGCAAAUUGGAAAAUGUCCCAUUCCAGGCCAGAUGGCAUGGAAAGUGAGGGAAAUAAAAUGGACCCUUUAGUUUUUUGGAGUGAGAUGAAAGACAUGGAUAUAAAACCUGAUGUUGUUUGUUACACGGUUCUAAUUGACAAACAUUGUAAAACAAACAACAUCCAGGAAGCUAUAAUGCUUUUUGAUGAAAUGAUUGAUAGAGGACUAGAACCCGAUACUGUGACGUACACAGCUCUUUUAUCUGGACAUUGUAAUGUGGGAGAUGUAGAAAAGGCUGAAGUCCUUAUUGAUGAAAUGAUACAUAAGGAGAUACAGCCAGAUGCCCAUACCAUGUCAGUAUUGCAGCGUAGUGUUUUGAAAGCUAGGAAAGUGCAUUUUCGGCAGUAACCAUUCUGGUUACUCAUAGUAGGUAGAUCAAUCAUAAAAUCUGUCUAAUCAAAUCCAGUUGUUUCAAGGUACAAUGAAACAAGUCAUGCUACUGAACAAGUGCACUUUUCAUACCCCGGAAAUGGUUCAACAAGACAUUUUAGUGUAUCGUUAUAUUGCUGAAGGCCUUAAGAAGGGAGGCUUUGUUACCAGCGGAAAGCAUCCUUUGCAGGUAAAGAAAUGCUGUAGACUACAUACUUUUGGAGUAUUUCAAUAUUUGUUUUCUUCUUUAUGAUUUUUUAUUUUCUAUAUAAGAUUGACACUUCUGAAUCGUUCUUUUUUCCUUUAUCAUUUUCUUAUAACUGUUUUAUAAGUUUCAUUUUAUGUAGGGGUUCUUUCAGUUAUAUACUUUUGGGUUUGGUACCACUUGCUAAUAUAAUCAACCCUGAUGCUCCUAUUCAUAAAUAUGAAAAUAGUCUUCUAGCCCAGGUGCCAAAUUUGUAUUAAUUUGAAUUGAAAUAUUUACAGUACAAUACUCUGUCCUCCUUGACUGAUACUGGAUGGAGAAAGCAAAUUGCCCCCUUUUUUUCGGUGGAUUGGCUAGGUAUUUGUUUAUAUCUUUAGUUUGUAUAAAGUUUAUGUUUACCAUAUGAAACUUAAGGGGAUCUAUUCGAAUUCUAGUAUGUAAUUUCUGAAUGUUGGCUAUUGUUGUUAUGUAGUAUAAUAAGUAACUAUGUAUUAAUUUGGGAUUUGAUUUUCCUUCGUCAGUCUUUCCUUUGGAACUUUGUUUGUUGGUCCAUAUGUUGGUGCUAAAACUACUUCAGUGAUUAAUGUGUGGAAAUGAGCUGGUGCUAGGGGCAUGGUUGUCUAUUGCAUGUUUACCUGAGAAUUAUUUUUGUCUUCUGUAUCUUUACUAAAGUAAGAUAUUAUCUCUUAUGCUCCAAAAAAGAGUAGGAGACUUGUAUUUUGCAGCUAUCUUCCAAUUCCUGCAAAUUUAGUUUGUCUUGAUUUUGAUGCCUAUAUCAUGUAAGUUAUUAUGCUGAUCCUCUACAGAAUACAUCUUAUUUGCAAGAAUAUUUAUCCUUAAUCCUAUAGUUCUGUCUAGUUUUUAUAAUAAGUUUAAAAUGCAUUAGCCAGCAUUAAGUAUCUCGAUUUCAUAAUGUUAAUGUUGAAAAGUUACCCACUUAACAUGCACACACAAAUUAGAAUAACAAUAAAAGAAAAGGAGAAAAAUGCUAGACAAGGAAUUUUAUAUGGUUUGGAAAUGUCCCUACAUCCAUAGACAGCAACCUGCAUUUUUCACUAUUAAGGAUAAAAUUACCAUCACCUAUUUAUAGAGUUGCUAGAGUUUUCCUUGUACAAGUAGGAGUAGGAGAAACUCAAUUGUACGAUCCACAAACUCAAGUCAAAACUAAUGCUAAAGUUCAAAUUUUAAUGUCAGUUAAGCCUAAUUUGUUGAUCUCAUUCUAUCCAUUAUGUUUGAGUUCCCAUAGGUGCUUAUGUUGAAAGAACUUGCAAACAAUAAAUAACCAUGUCAGCGAUUAAUAUUAGUUUUAGGUCGGGUACUAGUUGAUAUCUCUCUCUUCUUUUCAUUGUUGUCAUCAGUGAUAUCUCACAUAAAGAUAUUUGCCUAUAAAAUAAUUAGAAAGAUAUUAUUUAGCAAAUUGCAUCUUGUCACAUGGUAAUCAAAAUUUAAAAUUAUAUAAAGUAAAUAAGAACAUAUAAGAAAAAAGCAGAAAAAUUCUGAAAAACUUAUCAAUGAUACAAUGACAUUUAAUUAAAUUAAAGUUUGAAAAGGAAAAUGAAGAUUAAUGACAGAAAAUUGGAGAAAAUAAAUAAAAUUCAAAUCCAAUUUUAAUGUUUUAAAAAUUAGAUGUUUAUUUAUCAUUGUUGUAGUUGAUUAUAGACCACUACAUGGACAUUAUUCAUUAAAAAUUUCAGUAAAAUGGAAGAAAAUUCUGAAACAUUAAGGAAAACCAGAUAUAUCUCAAAUAAAUGAAGAAAAAACUUUAUUUAACAAAAAUAAAGAAGCUCUUGGAACCUAUAGAUUUUAUAUUAAAUUCUUGAAAUAUGUAAUUUUGACAUUUCAUAUGUUAAAUUGAAAUAAAAGAAAACGUUAUUAAUGAAUGCUGACAAAUAAUAGUAGUUUAAAACUUUAGUUGAAUGUAAAUCUGUUGUGAAUUAUGACAAAAAUAUAAUGUAAUAUGUGAUCAUGAGUCCAAAUCUAGAAAUGAAAAUUCUUGGGAAUUUUAAGUAUUUCUUAGGAAUGGUUUACAUUGGCAAAACGUAGGAAUCUUAUAUUCAUAGGUAGUAGUAGGCAUCAUAUUAAUGCUAUUAUCUUCUACCAAAUGCCACCUUCAUUUUCCUUCUCACUUUCUGAAUCCUAAUGAUGUCUGUGCCUCAGAAUAUGUGCAAAGAGUGUGAUUCAAAUGAAGUGUUAAGGAUGUGCAAUUAACUGCAUUCAUGUGAUAAGGUAUUUGUGAUCAGGUGGUGUCCAGACAAGUUUAAUGUGCACCUUAACUAUUCCAACAAUACUUGCAUGUCUAUUUUACCAAGUUGCUUUAGUACUUUUGAAAGUUUAAAAUCAUGACUUCUAAUCACAAAGGCUGAAAUGCAUUUCUUAGCCAGUUUUGAAAGUUCCAUUUGUCUUUCUUGUGCAUCAAAUGCAGCCUUGGUGUCAUUCCAUUUCUGAGCGUCAUAUGUCAAUGCCCAUUACCCUUGAGCAAGGUUACUGGUCAAAGUAUCAAAAGGCUAUUGCAAGAUUAUACUUCCCUGGAACGCGUCACUUACUGUAGGCAAAGCAAGAUUGUCAUACAGGUGGAAUAUGACUCUUCUUCUUGUUUGGAACUGGAGGAGGAGGUGGGCUUGGCAAGGGUUUGCUGCCUAGUUUUCUCAUCUUCAUUUCUGCAAGAUGACCAAAUCAAAUGUGUAAUCUUAUACAUAUAUGCUAACUUGACAAGAUUAAAGUUGAAAAUCAAUCAUAAAUAUAUAUAUAUUUUUGUGCAUUAAGUUUUGAGUAUUUCACUAGUAGUUUGACUCAUUUGCAUACCUAAUUAGAAUUGUAGGCAUAAACCAAAUUAUAGGCGACUAAUGAGGGUCUUGAGUCUCUAGUUAAUUGAUGUGUUUACCCCAAUUUCUUUGUGAAUUCAUUCAUAAUAAAAAAUAUCAUGAUUAAUUUUACUAUUCUAAAUCAUAUUUUUUAGUAGUAUUUUAUAUAUGUUCAGGUAAUUCUAAACUAUACAUUAAUAAUAAUCGAAGUACAAUUAUGAAAUAUCAAAGUAAAAACAUCUGUGCCCCUUGCUGCUUAAUUUUUUUUUUUAAAAGCCACUACUAAAUUUACUAUUGAUCUACAAUUAUCUUUUUCAUGAGGUGAUAUUUGCUACUGAUUACUCUGCAGAAAGGAACAUUUUGCAGCUGAUCAACUUAUGAAAGACAUAGCUUUGCAGAAUAAAAUACAAACCUGCGUUGACCUCAGUCAUCUGCACGGACAAGAUGGAAGCUAUGAAUGCAAGAACUACAAGGAAUCGGAAGGAGAAAGAUAGACCCAUUUUGAUUAUUGGCUAUGAAAUUUGGCUGUUAGCUCUUGCUUAAUAUGGCAUGAAUAUAUAAGCAUCGUUCCUGAGGACUACAAAAGGAGAAUUGUUGUAACGCCUCAUUUUUUAUUGUCCAUUAUUAGCUUUAGCGGGGCAUUGCGUAUGUAAUAAUGACCCCCCUUCUUAAAAUUCACACCUAAUCCAUUGACCCAUCUCCUCAUUUCGUUAUGGACAUCAAUUUUUUAAGUCUAAAGAA